UCAGCCCACCGCGCCCCUUAACAUAUCCCUUAACCUAACUCAUCUCUCUCAAUUUCUCACUCCUCUAUACGCCGCUUCAGUACUCCUCUCAAAUUCCCACUCUCUCUCACUCUAUGCGCUGCUAAGCUGCUUCACUCCUCUCAAAUUCUCCAACCUAAAUUCUCCCUCCCUGAACCCUCCCUCAACCCUCCCUACCUUCAGCGAAUUCCAACAAACAAAUCAAAGUACAAUCUUUCAAAUUCAGCGAAUACCUGGGAAACGAACGAAUUCCAACGAACGCUUCACAACUCUCAAAUUCUCCCCCUUUGCGAACGAACGAACGAAUCAUUUCCCAGGUAUGAUUCAACGUGAACGAACGAAUCAGAUUUGUUUCCCAGGUAUGGUUCAACGCGAACGAACAAAUCAAAGUACAAUCUUGUUUGCCAGAUCUGGAAUUUGUCCUCGAAGUUGUCUCCCACAAACACAUCGAAAAACGUCGCCAUUACCAUCUUCCUUUAUUAGAUUCAGUUUUAGUUUUACAUUUUUAUUACAUAUUUAUAAUGUAAUUUGUUUUGUAUAUAUUGUAUAUAUUUUUUUACAUUUAUUUGUAUUUAAUAUUUACAUAUUAAUGCAAAGAUUUGUUUGUAUAUAAUAUUUACAUAUCAAUGCAAAAAUAUUGCGAUUUUAAGUCA